rnacentral:rRNA from 1 species
GAUAACUUGCUAGUAAAAGGGUAUAAUAGAGAGGUUAGGAAAAAUAAUUUAAGUUCACAAAAAGUUAGUAGUGUUUAUUGAAAAGAUAAUAAGGCUAUAGGUUAUAAGUACUGUAAAGGAAAGUAUAAGAGUUAAAAUAGGAAAUAGUAAUUUUCAGAUUUUGUACCUUGUGUAUCAGGGAGAAUUUAUAUACAUUAAAAAGUUAGAAAUCCCGAAAUAAGUAUAGCUAAUUCUAUAUGAAAGUUUUUGUAGAAAAUAAAUUUUUAAUUUAGAGUUAAAGGUGAAAUGUUAGUCGAGACUUAUAAUAUCUGGUUUUUUUAAAAAAAAAUUUAAUUUUGUCUUAAAGUAUAUAGUACUUUAGAGUUAAGUGUAGGAGGGAAUAGCUUCUUAUAUAUUGAGUAAAAAAGUUUAGUAAAGGAUAAAUAAUUUAAAGUAGGCUUAAAAGUAGCUAUUUUAAUAAAGUGUUCUAACUAGGGGUUUGUAAGUAUAAUAUUUACGAAUACUUUUAGAAGUAUAAAAAAAUGAGUUGAAUUGAAAAAGAUUCAUAUAAAAUGAUUUUAUUAGUAAAAAGUUAUGUUUAGAGAAAUAUUAGAGUUAGAAGUAAGAUUUAGAAUAAGGUAAAGGAAAUACAAAGUAAUUCGGCAAAAUACCCCCUUGCCUGUUUAUCAAAAACAUGUCUGUUUGAAGGUAUAAGGAGUCUGAUCUGCCCACUGAAAUAUUUAAGGGCCGCGGUAAUCUGACCGUGCAAAGGUAGCAUAAUCGUUAGUUUUUUAAUUGGAAUCUUGUAUGAAUGAUUGGACAAGGGGGGUACUGUCUCUGUGUUUAUUUUUGAAUUUAACUUUUAAGUGAAAAGGCUUAAAUGAUUUAAAAAGACGAUAAGACCCUAUAAAGCUUAAUAAGUUAAAUUAGUUGACUGAAUUAAAUAAAUAAUAGUUAAUUAAUUAAUCAUAUUUUGUUGGGGCGACAAUGGUAAAAUGUUUAUCAACUACUAAAUUUUUAUGACAAAUAUUAAUGAAUACAGUAGAAUUAAAUGAUCCUAGGAUAAGAUUUAAAGAUGAAGUUACUUUAGGGAUAACAGCGUUAUUUUUUUUGAGAGUUCUUAUCGAAAAAAAAGUUUGCGACCUCGAUGUUGAAUUAAAAUGUCUAUUCAAUUGCAGAAGUUGAAAUAGUAGGUCUGUUCGACCUUUAAAAUUUUACGUGAUUUGAGUUCAGACCGGCGUGAGCCAGGUCAGUUUCUAUCUUUUAAAAAUGAAUUAAUCAUUUUAGUACGAAAGGAUUAAGUGGUUAAAAUUUUUUUAUUUUUGGUACUAUUUUGGCAGAUAAUAUGUAUAGGGCUUAGGAUCCUAGGAAAUAGAUUAAUUCUA